rnacentral:tRNA from 1 species
AAUAAGUUGGCAGAUUAGUGCAGUUGGUUUAGGACCUCCAUAUGAAUUACUUUUCACUUAUUG